rnacentral:rRNA from 1 species
UACGUAGGACGCAAGCGUUAUCCGGAUUCAUUGGGUUUAAAGGGUGCGUAGGCGGCUUUUUAAGUCAGUGGUGAAAUCCUGCCGCUUAACGGUAGAAUUGCCAUUGAUACUGAAGAGCUUGAGUCCAGUUGAGGUAAGCGGAAUGUGUAGUGUAGCGGUGAAAUGCUUAGAUAUUACACAGAACACCAAUUGCGAAGGCAGCUUACUAAACUGGCACUGACGCUGAUGCACGAAAGCGUGGGGAGCGAACAGG